CUGUUUUCGACUAGUCAAGGUGGAUAGGUGGUGCCAUCCAGCGGGGC
rnacentral:lncRNA from 1 species